rnacentral:rRNA from 1 species
UACGUAGGGUGCAAGCGUUAAUCGGAAUUACUGGGCGUAAAGCGCGCGUAGGCGGCUAAUUAAGUCAAAUGUGAAAUCCCCGAGCUUAACUUGGGAAUUGCAUUCGAUACUGGUUAGCUGGAGUGUGGGAGAGGAUGGUAGAAUUCCAGGUGUAGCGGUGAAAUGCGUAGAGAUCUGGAGGAAUACCGAUGGCGAAGGCAGCCAUCUGGCCUAACACUGACGCUGAGGUGCGAAAGCAUGGGGAGCAAACAGG